GUUCCUUUCAGGGGCACAUAAAGUAAAAUUAGAAUGAUGCAGAGUUAGCAUGGCACCUGGCUAAGGAUAAACAGACAACCUGGUGAAGUGUUUUACAUUUUU
rnacentral:snRNA from 1 species